GACGAACCGUGCGAACGUUGUUCGGAUUCACUGGGCUUAAAGGGCGCGUAGGCGGACCCAAAAGUCCGGGGUGAAAUCUUUCGGCUUAGCCGGAAAAUCGCCUUGGAUACUGUGGGUCUCGAGGGAGGUAGGGGCAUGCGGAACUUCCGGUGGAGCGGUGAAAUGCGUUGAGAUCGGAAAGAACACCAACGGCGAAAGCACUCUGCUGGGCCGACACUGACACUGAGAGACGAAAGCUAGGGGAGCGAAUGGG
rnacentral:rRNA from 1 species